AGCCGACAUGAUGGCAUAUGUCUGUAGUUCCAGCUACCCAAGAGGCUGAGGUUGCUUGAGUCCAGGAGUUCUGGGCUCUAGUGCGCUAUCCCAAUCGGGUGUCCACACUAAGUUCAGCAACAAUAGGGUGACCUCACGGGAGCAGGGGACCACCAGGUUGCCUAAGGAGGGGUGAACCAGACCAGGUCAGAAAUGAACCAGGUUUAAAUUCCCAUGCUGAUUAAUAAUAGGCUCACACCUGUGAAUAGCCACUGCACUCUAACCUGGGCAACAUAGCAAGACCU
ensembl:misc_RNA Metazoa_SRP Metazoan signal recognition particle RNA